UUAAACUGAAGAGUUUGAUCAUGGCUCAGAUUGAACGCUGGCGGCAGGCCUAACACAUGCAAGUCGAGCGAUAAAGGUCUUCGGACUGAUUAAAGC
rnacentral:rRNA from 1 species